GGAAGAGGGAGGGGACGAGGGAAGGGAAGGGGAAAGGGCAGGGCAGUGGAGCUUCAGCUGAGCAGUGUAGAUGACGACAGCGAUGAGGUGAUGCUUGUCCAUCCAGCUGAGCAGCAGCACGUAUUAGAGGAGGAAAUGGACACACAGAGCCCUCCUCUUAUAGAAAGCUCACCUGCUCACUCUGAUAUUGCUUCAAGUCCUGCUCAGCAAUCAAGCUCAGACUGCAUAAUCAUAGACAGUAAUCCAGACCAGUUUUAACGAUGUAACUCCUCACCAGUUUGAUGAUGCAUUGGAUGAGGAGGAGGAGGAGAAGAAAGAUGCUGAGAAUACAGGAGAGUAUUUAAGCAUAUCAGACUCUGAAGGCCGUGACUCUGAUGCUCUGUGCUGCAUCUGUCAACAUAAGCACAACAAGAGGUACAUGCUCAUUUCUACAAGACCUCUUAGGCUGAGCUGUAAUUUUAGUUGUAUACAGGCCAUGUGUCGGUUUCACUUCCUGAUCGCUGCUGGUUGUUCUUACAGGUUCAUGUCUCCUGUGACAGUUGCCCGGGUGGUUUCAUGGGACUGGUGUUGGUAUCAGUGAGACAGAUGGCCAUCAGAUGCGGAGCAAAGGGCAAGAGUACACGUGCCCUCCUUGCACUACAAAGAAGCAGAGCCAACUCCAAUCUGGUUCUCACCCACAGCAAGACCCUGAGAUUGUAUUUUCUGAAUGCUUGACACAUAGUCCUCCUGGUGAAGAAGGAGUGGGGCAAGUGGAGCAGUUGGCUGUCAAGGAGAAUGUGGUGGAGCAGGAGGUGCCUGCUGUCGUGACAGGGUCAGAAACUGAAGCUGAGAUGGAGACAGACAGCACUUUUCCCUUGUGUAUUGGGCCUGGCUGCUCAAAACAAGCACUACCAGGUUCUGUUUACUGUGGCACUGACUGCAUCCUUCAGCAUGCUGCUGCCACUAUGAAGUCUCUCACUGGGCCCGUGGUACCCAAGUCUGCAGGACGGGGACAAAGAAAGGCUGCCACGGCCAGACCUACUGCAAAGGUUCAGAGGGCAGGUCGGAUGUCUAAGAGAUUGGCAGAAAAAGCUCAGAAGGAGGCUGCUGAGGAGAAGAUGGAGGAGGAUGGAGAGCAGGAGGAGCCAGCAACUCCUGUAGUCUGCGACCCCAGUGUCACAGAAGUUCAGACCAAUCCCAUACCAUCGUCUAAGUUUAACACAGCGUCUGAUAACGACAGUAUAACUGUAGAGGAUGUCAGUGAAGCUGCAUCUCCUUCAAAACAAUGUCCAGAGGACUCGUCAGCAAACAUCCUUUCCCACUCUGCACCGGAGGAAAAGCCAGCACAGAGCCCCUCUCACGAACAAUCAAAGGAGCCAGUAAAACAGUGA
rnacentral:lncRNA from 1 species